rnacentral:snRNA from 1 species
AAGCUAAUAAGAGCACAUAUACUAAAACUGGAAGAAGAUCCGCAUGGCCCUGUGCAAGGAUGGCACGCAAAUUAGCAAAGUGUUAUAUAUUUUC